GAAAACAGGAGGAGAGGAGUGAACGUCUACAACACGGAUCUAGAGAUACAGCGUCAGACACUCCCUUCACUCUCUCCUAACACCCGUCCACUAGAGGGCAAUCCAGGGGAUUCACACCCAGUAUUCACGUCUGCCAUUUCAUACAUGAUUGAAUAGUUGAAGUCACUCCAGCGCAGAGAUUAACGAGUCGGGGGCGGAGCUUGUAGAGAAGAACGCAAAACUGUUCAGCAGCUCCAAUUAAAACUAGUGCAAGUGAACCCAGAAAGGGUUGACCCUUGUGACCUGACCCGAGGAGACCACAAUAGAAACCUGACCUCAGUAGACCACAAUAUAAACCUGACCUCAGUAGACCACAAUAGAAACCUGACCUUAGUAGACCACAAUAGAAACAUGACCUCAGUAGACCACAAUAGAAACCUUACUAGUCAGGGGGCCAAAACUGAUAUUAAAACUUUGUCGGACACUUUUUGUUACAAGCAUACAACCUAUCCAGUAUUAAUAUUUAACCCCUAAACAUGUGUUCUAGCCACGUUGUCAGCUUAGAAAAAGUUUUUUUGCCCAUUUUAACACUAUAUUCUUAAAAGUGGUAAAAGCAGAUUUUUCCCCUAAAGUGCUUCCUCUUUCUUCCAUGUUACCUCCUGUAAUUUGGGGCACAUGUGCAAUAUAAUCCAUUUAUGUGCAAGCAUGAUCUUUAAAAAAUAAUAGAGUAUCACACCACAAGCACAGUGUGUCAGCACAGCUGUGAUUUGGCACGAGUCAGCAGAUCCAGUGAAGAUGAUUACAGCAGGUUUCAACAGUCAGAACAAAACGUAAAAAAAAAUUAAAAGGAGUGAAUAACACAAUCACAUAACAGAUUAACUUGGUCUAUUUGUCUACAAAAACAAUUACCUCAAGACUCUACCAUCAAAUGUUGCCAGAAAAAGGUAAGCUAAACGUUUUCCAACUAGCUAUACUUCCCAGGCAGAUAGCUAGGCUAAUGUACUUUCAUAAUUACUAGCUUACUUACUAAUAGGUAAAUUAAGUUUUGUGCAGAUGUGUAAUGGAAAUAUUAUGUUGAUAAUUUAUUUUCUGCACAGCAGCCUAUUUUACAGUUUGCUAGCUAAAAGUGUUAACCAGUUUGUUAGAUAGAAAAGCCCUCAGUUUAUGUCAGAUGACCUUGUAGUGAUCUACUCAGAAACCAAUCAGACUAGUGUAGUGAAACAUUUAUUUGCAUUCAGCGUUUCAAGACAAAGCUUGAAAAGUUGCUUCAGGGAAAAGCAAUGUUUGUUAAAUCAUUAAAACCAACUGAUUCCAUCAUGAUAUUUCCUGAAAUGACAGCUGGAACUGCUCUUCUUAACAUGAAGAAAUUAAUGGAUGACAAACAAGAUGAUGCUAAAGGGAUGACAAUGGCUAGCUGUGGAACAGACAAGGACACUGAGAUACUGAGUUGGCUGUAUCGGGUGUCGGUAAAGGUCAAGGCAGACAUCAGGGAGUCCCCAAGACAUGAUGUUAUUGGAGGGAUAGAUCAGCAUCAUGCAGAAAAAACUGUGCCUGACAGUCUGUACAUCCUCUUACGGCUCCUUUGCGUUAAUGAUGAUGACUCAGAAAAUGAGAAUGAACAAUCCCGUCACACAAAGCUACUCAGUAUUGCUCAAAACAUUAUUUUCCUGGCUUCUGGUGGACGAAGACCAACACCAAAACACAUUGGAAUUGGAGUUGCUGUACACCAAGCUACACGCUCAAAGGACUUAGUGCAGUUACUUCAUGCUGCUGGGCACAGCAUAAGCUAUGAGUCAGUGUUGAGAGCAGAUACUACCAUGGCAAAUGAAGCUAUGAAGCGAUACUUUGAGAAUGGUGAAGUAUACAUUCCACUGAACUUUUUCAAUGCUAAUCUCCCUGGAUACAUAACAUAUGCAAAUUACAACAUAGACAUAAAUUAGGAGACCCUUGAUGGUAAAGGAACCUUUCAUGCUUCCCAGACUGCUGCUUUCAGACGAAGUAAACCUGAAGAAGAAAUCCCAAAAAUAAUGCUGAAAUCUGGGAGAUCAAAGUCAUUCUCAGUUCCACCAGGAGUGUUUCAACUCAAGGAUGCUAACAUGGAAUCUCAGAAGCCCCCUCCAAAAUUUCAUGCAUCAGUUACACCCGAGAUGUAUUAUUCAGACGCACAACUGACUAAACAAUCAAAGAACCAAGAUCUUGCCUGGAUUAUAUUCAAACUACAGAACACAGAUGAUCAGGUUGUUCCAUCUUGGAGUGGCUUCAACCACCUUAUGUCAAAAUCAGAUCACCCAAAAACAGUAGCUGGAAUGAUGCCUAUCAUAAAUUCUCCAGCACAUGACUAUGACACAAUUUGGACAGUGUUACAGAACUGCCACAAAAUGACUACGAAACUGGGCCAAAGGUACACAAUAAUAACCUUUGAUGAGCAUCUCUACUGCAAAGCAAAGAUGCUUCAGUGGUACCACCAAAAAGAGUGUGAGGAUAUUAUUAUUCUCUUGGGUGGCUUUCAUGUGCAGAUGAACUUUUCAAAAGGUCAUUGGACAGCAUCUUGCUGAUUCUGGAUUGAGGGACAUUCCUGAGGAAAGUGGUGUGUUCGGAAAGAACACAGCUGAAAACAUCAUGAAGGGAAAGGGAUGGAACCGUGUAGCCCGUGCACACAAACUUACCUUUGAAGCACUUUGGAGAAUAUAAUAGCCAACCUUUCUGCAAUGGGUGGAUGGCAAUGAUAGCACAAUAGACAACAGUUGCCUCGAGUUGGCAGAUGCACUCUCCGAACACAUACGAUGUGGAGAAAUUGAGGCAGCUGCAGCAUGCUAUGAAGAUCUUGUUCUGAAAGUUGGAGAGGUUCAGGAUCUCCUUGCUGAGUUUGACAAGGCUAAUGAAGACAAACCAACAUUUACCUUCUGGCGACAAUACAUGGACCUUGUGUCUAUUCUCCUGGCAUUCACACGGGCACUGAGAUGUGGUGACUGGAAGCUUUACAUGUCUGCCUUCAAGAGCAUGAUGCCCUGGUUUGCUGCAUAUGAUCACACCCACUACACAAGAUGGGGUGCUGUAUUCAUAGCAGACAUGGAACAUCUUGCACAGACAGCACCACGGGUCUACCAGGGCUUCCUAGAUGGUGAUUUUGUAGCAAAGGAGGCCAAACACAGCUUCAACGAGGUGCCAUUUGAUCUUUGCCUUGAGCACAUCAACAAAACCGGAAAGGUUGCUGGAGGAUUGGUAGGCAUCACUCGAAAUGAGACAGCUAGAAACCGUUGGUCCAUCACCUACAAUGAACGUGCAUCUUUAGCACAGGACACUAGAUCCCUGUUUGGACUGACACAUGAUGGAGAAGAUGAUGAAGACAACCACAAAGACUGCCUUCCAUCAAGAAUCAGAAGGGAUAAUGUUGUCAUUCAGCUUGUAGACCAAUUCCAGAGAUAUCAUGUCUUCCAACUGGAGAAUAUGUAUGAGUUGGUGUCUUUGACAACCGGUGAUGUUGCUUCAGAAGAUAUACUGAAUGACCUAACACAUGCUGCAGAGACUGGGAAACAAAUGGUAACUGAGCUGGUGAAAAAAAGAAUGAGCACAAUGAACACAAACUUCCAUAACAGCCUCACUAGGAGAAAACUCAAAACAUUCUCAAAUCUUUACAGAACAGACAGCAAACUUGGAAAACUCAAAUCCAAGUGUGUGAAGCCUGACAGGGAUAUUUUCCGUCGCAUCAUUAUAUCCAUGGACAGUGGCAGAGAGGUUAACAUUGAUGAGCUUCUCCAAGAGGAACUGUGUGCAAUCCCCCUCUCACUUGCCACAACAGAGUCAGUGCUCAGACCUACUAGCAAAGCUGUCUUAGCCACCAUACUACAAGCUGGUGCAAAAGAGACAGGGCUAAGUCCAUCUCUUGUGAGAACAUGCACUAUCAUUGAUGGGAUGGCUUUAGUAACAGCAAUAGGAAAACCACAAAAUGCAUCAACCUUUGGGGAUUAUGCUGAAAUUUUCAUGCGGAAAGUGACUGGCAAUCUACAUGGGAACAUUAGUAGAGUGGAUCUAGUCUUUGAUCAGUACAGAACUCUAUAAAGGGUGGAACAAGAGCAAAACGCAGCACCACUCUGCGAAAAAUUCGCACCAUUGUAAGUAAUGAUGUAAAGAUACCAGCUAACUGGAAUAGUUUCAUCGAAAUGGACGAAAACAAGGCCAACCUGACACAAUUCAUUUCAAUUGAACUUGAAAGGCAUGUCAUUCAGUAUGGUCUUGAAAUCGUAAUAAGUGGGGGAUUUGAUGAUGCUGAAAAAGUGGCAACGGCAGCUGGUAUUGAUGUUUCCCACCUACGGGCUGCACAUGAAGAAGCAGAUACCCGCAUAUUGCUACAUGCUGUCGAUGCCAAAAUCCAAGGGUAUGAGAGGCUCAUCAUUCAGUGCAGAGACACAGAUGUACUGUUGUUGCUUCUUGUGUUUGCACACCUGCUGAUCCCAGAAAUUUGGAUGAAAGCAGGAACUGCUAAGAAACCACGCUACAUUAAAGUGCAUGAUAUUAAAAUGUCAAAUGUCAGUCAGUUCACUGGAAUAGGGAAAAGAACGGCGUGGAAAGUGUUCCAGCAGUGCCCUCAUCUUCUCCACAACUUUGGUGAGGAUGAAGUACCAAGUCCAGCUAUUCUAUCCUCAGCAGAACAGUUUGUCUGCAAACUUUAUGAUCCAAAAACGACCAGCACUUUAAUCCAUGAAGCUCGCUGUGCCCUGUUUCGGAAAGUGAAAGCCAAUGUGGAUACUUUACCACCAACUCAGGAUGCCUUGUCUCUGCACCUCAUGAGGGCCCACUAUCAAACGAAGGUUUGGAAACAGUCACUAGUGACCCAUCCACAGUUGCCCUCACCAACCAGUUGUGGUUGGCACAUGAAGGAUGGAAUGCUUGUCCCCCAGCUUUUAACCAAAGAACCUGUACAGUGCUUGGAGCUGACGAUAUGCGGAUGCAGGGAAAGUGGAAGUCAGUGCAGUACCAGGCAGUGUCGAUGUCGAAGAAGUGGAAUAUUUUGCAGUGGGGCAUGUGGGUGUGCCUGUGCAGCUUGGUGCAAGAAUACUCAGGACUCAGACUGAGCACAUGGACAUGGUCCCUGGAUGCCUUCUGUUGGCUGCCUACCUGACUGUCACUGCUUGGAUGGGGAAAAACACACACGCUGGGGUUUGAGAAUUGAAAAUACUUAAAUAAACAAUAUUAAAACAUAAAUA